rnacentral:tRNA from 1 species
UCCCCGAUAGUUCAGUCGGUAGAACGGCGGACUGUUAAUCCGUAUGUCGUAGGUUCGAGUCCUACUCGGGGAGCCA